UGCUCACAUUCAGUGGCAUCUGGCACGUUGGAGAGGCGUUCUGUUCACUGAUGAGUUCUGGUUUUCACUGUUCAGAGCAGAUGGCCGACAGCGUGUGUGGUGUCAUGUGGAGAUACCGUGACAAGAUCCUGAGGCCCGUUGUUGUGCCAUUCACCCGCAAUCAGCUUUGAAUGUCGCGGAGGCAGCAGUCUGACCAGAGAAACCCAGACUUCCCUCACCCCACCACCUCCUCAAGCUCAUUUGCAGGGAAACGGAGACAUUCCCAAGCCACCCAAGAGAUGUUAAUCUUGUCAGCAAGCUCUGGGGCUUCCUCCUGGCAGGGGAUGCCAGGAAUACCUCACAUUGGCGCUUCCAGGAGUUCUAGUAGUCAGAUGCCUGAACCACCUCAACUGGCUCCUUCAGUUGUGGAGGAACAGCACCUGUACUCUGAGCCCCUGUUCUCACUGUAUCUCAAAGAGAGAGACUCAUAGCCUUGGCCAAAGACUCAUAGCCUUGGCUAGCCUAGCCUACAUUGAAGAGGUACACCAGAGAGAUAGAAGGCAGGAGAAUAAACCAGUUGUUCUCCACAGCACCAGCCAAGGUGUACUCUCAG
ensembl:lncRNA